UUCUUCUUCUUCUUCUUCUUCUUCUUCUUCUUCUUCUUCUUCUUCUUCUUCUUCUUCUUCUUCUUCUUCUUCUUCUUCUUGUUCUUCUUCUUCUUCUUGUUCUUCUUCUUCUUCUUCUUCUUGUUCUUCUUCUUGUUCUUGUUCUUCUUGUUCUUCUUGUUCUUCUUGUUCUUCUUGUUCUUCUUGUUCUUCUUGUUCUUGUUGUUCUUGUUGUUCUUCUUGUUCUUGUUGUUCUUCUUGUUCUUGUUGUUCUUCUUGUUCUUGUUGUUCUUCUUGUUCUUGUUGUUCUUGUUGUUCUUGUUGUUCUUGUUGUUCUUGUUGUUCUUGUUGUUCUUGUUGUUCUUCUUGUUCUUGUUGUUGUUCUUGUUGUUGUUCUUGUUGUUGUUCUUGUUGUUGUUCUUGUUGUUGUUCUUGUUGUUGUUGUUGUUGUUGUUGUUGUUGUUGUUGUUGUUGUUGUUGUUGUUGUUGUUGUUGUUGUUGUUG
rnacentral:lncRNA from 1 species